rnacentral:rRNA from 1 species
AUUGAACGCUGGCGGCAGGCUUAACACAUGCAAGUCGAACGAGUGGCGGACGGGUGAGUAAUGCUUGGGAAUCUAGCUUAUGGAGGGGGAUCACUACGGGAAACUGUAGCUAAUACCGCGUACCAUAGGAUGAGCCCAAGUGGGAUGAGGUAGUUGGUGAGGGAAAGGCUCCCCAAGCCGACGAUCUCUAGCUGGCCUGAGAGGAUGACCGGCCACACUGGGAUGGAGACACGGCCCAGAUUCCGACGGGAGGAAGCAUUGGGGAAGAUUGCGAAUGGGGGGCAACCUGACGCAGCCAUGCCGCGUGAAUGAAGAAGGCCUUCGGGUUGUAAAGUCCGUUCGGUAGGGAGGCGUUAACGACAGAAGAAGCACCGGCUAACUCCGUGCCAGCAGCCGCGGUAAUUC